rfam:Candidate division TA06 bacterium 34_109 MPJ_scaffold_41, whole genome shotgun sequence.
UUUUCGGAGGGUUUGAUCCUGGCUCAGGACUAACGCUAGCGGCGUGUCUUAGCCAUGCAAGUCGUACGGGCUUAUAGCAAUAUAAGUCAGUGGCAAACGGGUGAGUAACACGUGAGUAAUCUACCCUUAGGAUUCGGAUAACAGGGGGAAACCUCUGCUAAUACGAAAUAAUAUCCUUUUAAGCAAGUUAGAAGGAUCAAAGCGGGGGACCGCAAGGCCUCGCACCUAAGGAUGAGCUCGCGGCCCAUUAGCUUGUUGGUAGGGUAAUGGCCUACCAAGGCGACGAUGGGUAGCCGGCCUGAGAGGGUGUCCGGCCACAUUGGAACUGAGACACGGUCCAGACUCCUACGGGAGGCAGCAGGCUAGAAAUUUGGGCAAUGGGCGAAAGCCUGACCCAGUGACGCCGCGUGAAUGAUGAAGGCCUUCGGGUUGUAAAGUUCUUUAGUCAGGGACGAUGGGGUAUAAUGCUAAUACCAUUAUAUUCUGACGUUGUACCUGAAGAAUAAGCUCCGGCUAACUCCGUGCCAGCAGCCGCGGUAAUACGGAGGGAGCAAGCGUUGUCCGGAAUCACUGGGCGUAAAGGGAGUGUAGGUGGUUUGGAAAGUUGGAUGUGAAAUCUUGCGGCUCAACCGUAAAAUUGCAUUCAAUACUACCAUUCUAGAGUGCAGGAGAGGAGAGCGGAACUCCUAGUGUAGCGGUGGAAUGCGUAGAUAUUAGGAGGAACACCAAAGGCGAAGGCAGCUCUCUGGCCUGUUACUGACACUGAAACUCGAAAGCUGGGGGAGCAAACAGGAUUAGAUACCCUGGUAGUCCCAGCUGUAAACGAUGGGCACUAGACGUGGGGAUUUUCUCCGUGUCGAAGCUAACGCAUUAAGUGCCCCGCCUGGGGAGUACGGUCGCAAGACUGAAACUCAAAGGAAUUGACGGGAACCCGCACAAGCGGUGGAGGAUGUGGUUCAAUUCGAAGCAACGCGAAGAACCUUACCUGGGUUUGACAUCAUAGGAAAUACUAUGGAAACAUAGUAGGCCUUCGCAAGAAGGAUCCUAUGACAGGUGCUGCAUGGCUGUCGUCAGCUCGUGCCGUGAGGUGUUGGGUUAAGUCCCGCAACGAGCGCAACCCUUGCCCAUAGUUGCCACCAAUCUUUAUGAUGUUGGGCACUCUAUGGGGACUGCCGGUGAUAAGCCGGAGGAAGGUGGGGAUGACGUCAAGUCAGCAUGGCCUUUAUAUCCAGGGCUACACACGUCCUACAAUGGUCGGUACAGAGGGAAGCAAGACCGCGAGGUGGAGCAAAUCCCAAAAAACCGAUCUCAGUGCGGAUUGCAGUCUGCAACUCGACUGCAUGAAGUUGGAAUCGCUAGUAAUCGCAGAUCAGCAUGCUGCGGUGAAUAUGUUCUCGGGUUUUGUACACACCGCCCGUCACGCCAUGGGAGUUGGUAACACCCGAAGUUAUCUUUAGAUACCUAAGGUGGGACCAAUGACUGGGGCGAAGUCGUAACAAGGUAGCCGUACGGGAACGUGCGGCUGGAUCACCUCCUUU